AUACUUACCUGGCAGGGGAGAUACCAUGAUCAUGAAGGUGGUUUUCCCAGGGCGAGGCUUAUCCAUUGCACUCCGGAUGUGCUGACCCCUGAGAUUUCCCCAAAUGCGGGAAACUCGACUGCAUAAUUUGUGGUAGUGGGGGACUGCGUUCGCGCUCUCCCCUG
ensembl:snRNA LOC120098346 U1 spliceosomal RNA